ACAUCAUGUGUGACGCUGACUGGGAUUAAAAGCUCCAGCUGCUACAAAAUGAUGGAGUUUAAAGGGUUAAUAAUUGUGACGUUUAAUAUUGCAGAUAACUCUGAAAUUAAAUUAUGACAUGAAUGAUGUGGAAGUUUUUCUGGAUCCUUUCAUUAAUUCAUUGGACCCAACCUUCAGUUUUCCUUUCAGCUGCUUCUCCUUCGUUACUAUGACAACAUGGAAUGAUGGAGAAGAUGAUGGCAAAGAAAGAAAAAGACUGCCUGGAUCACCUUUUCUUUCUUUACCACGGCGUUACUGUUGUACCAAAGAGCAUCUUGAAGGUUUUGUUGUUUUUUUCCCUCAUCAACC